UAUAGGAAGGACACCCAUGCCUGUGGGAC
rnacentral:piRNA from 1 species